CCCAUCGUUCCCAGUGCUCCCAGUACCGCUCCCAGUGCCGGGCAGGCGGGGCCGCUUCGGAACCCCCCGGGCAGAGCGCGGCUGCUUUUGGGUGUCGGCACCGCCCGGGCCGGGCUGGGAGCGGAGCAGGAGCGGGAGGGAGAGGAGGGAGAGGGGAGGAGGAAAAGGAAAGGGAAGGAGAGGAUCGGGAGGAAAGGAGCAGGAGCAGGAGCAGGAAGAGGAGGGACGGAGGAGCAGCGGGAGGAGCAGCAGCACCAACCCCACGCGGUUCCCCCGCUCGGGCCGCGGCUGCCCCGGCUCCGCCGGCAUCGCCCCGGAACCGCCGGAUUUCCCGUCCCCAAACCUUGGCUGGAUGGAGGAGGAGGCUGCAAGGAGGAUGCCCCAGGACACCCAGGCAGACAAGGAGCUGAGGAUGGAGACCAGGGAGGACAAAUCCCCACGGCAGAACCUCGUGGAAGAGGCCAUUUUGAGCAGCUCCAGGGCACAGGAAUAUAAUGGGGAGGAAAAGCCCCAGACAUCCUGCGGGAGAAGUGGCUCCAAACCCAGCUCAGGGUGCUCUGAGGAGAAAAGACCCACCCUGAGCCAGGAGAGUGGACAGAGCUUCAGCCAGAGCUCAGAGCUGGUGGUCCAUGAGCAGCUUCAUGAUGGGGAGAAGCCCUACAAGUGCUUGGAGUGUGGGAAGAGCAUCAGGCAGAGCAGCACCCUGAUCCACACGGGGGAAUGGGCCUAUGAGUGUGGGGAGUGUGGGAAGGGCUUCAGCUACAGAUCCACCCUUUUGACCCACUGUGAGAGUCUGUCCGAAACUUCCCUCAUUUUUUGCCUCUCGAUCGUCAUGAAAGCCAAGACCACCGGGGAAAGGGAAAGAUUCUGUACUGAAAAUCCAGGUCUGUCCGGUCCACCAAGCCAGAUUAUUGCCUACGGGUGUGUUUGCUCAACUCAUGGAACACUGCACCCAAGAAGGGGCAGUGUACUCUCCUUCACCUGCAUCACCUAGCAACGCUAGUGCUGGAAUUUCUCCACCCUUCUGACUUGGCUGGACUUUCUCUCUGGAAUGACCUUCCCAGAGAUCACCACUAAAAGACCCUCCAUUCCCAGUACAUCAUCCACCGUGACAGAUGCACUGAGAUGGGAGAGGUUUCUCCCUCAAGGACUGAGACAUGCGACCCCUACAUGGAAAAGCUCCCCUCUUCUUCCCAAAAGGAUUGAGAGUAAAAUCCCCACCGUAGGGUGAGGAAAGGUGUGCGUGGGGACUGGAGCAAGUUUUGCAAGCGACCACUGGACUGAGAAGACAAUGGUUCCUGCCUACAACGUCUGCUGCUGACAACACCUGCUCCUGAUGGACUACUGAUGGACACCUUGUACCCUUUAUCAAUAGACUAUUUUGAAAUGGGUCCCCUUCCCCCAUUUCAAAAGGACUAUAAAAGAGGUUAGAGCUGACUGAUACCAUUGAGAUCUCCCCUGACGUGAAGACAACUGUUGCCAUGAUAUUUUAGUGAAAAAGCCUCUGCUAGGAUUUUUCCUGUCCUGAGGAGCUGAUGGUCUCAGGAAAGAAAUAUAAACAAUAACUAUCUGCUGCUGUGGAAUGCCACAGGUGCAUCUUCCAUUGGUCCAUGUGGAUUGUUUUAAAUCAGUGACCAAUCACAGCCACCUGUGCCAAGGCUGUGAGCAGUCACAGGAUUUUUGUUAUUCAUUCCUAUUCUAUCCUUGUCUUUGUAGCCUUCUGAUCUCUUCUCUCUGUUCUUUUAGUAUAGUUAUAAUGUAGUAUUUUAGUAUAAUAUAUAACAUAAUA